UGGGGAAUAUUGCACAAUGGGGGAAACCCUGAUGCAGCGACGCCGCGUGAGCGAUGAAGGCUUUCGAGUCGUAAAGCUCUGUCCUAUGGGAAGAUAAUGACGGUACCAUAGAAGAAAGCCCCGGCUAAUUACGUGCCAGCAGCCGCGGUAAUACGUAAGGGGCGAGCGUUGUCCGGAAUUAUUGGGCGUAAAGAGUGCGUAGGCGGCAAAUUAAGUCAGAUGUGAAAACUAAGGGCUCAACCCAUAGAUUGCAUCUGAAACUGAUAUGCUUGAGUCAAGGAGAGGAAAGUGGAAUUCCUAGUGUAGCGGUGGAAUGCGUAGAUAUUAGGAGGAAUACCGGUGGCGAAGGCGACUUUCUGGGCUUGAACUGACGCUGAGGCACGAAAGCGUGGGGAGCAAACAGG
rnacentral:rRNA from 1 species